rnacentral:rRNA from 1 species
UACGUAGGGUGCGAGCGUUGUCCGGAAUUAUUGGGCGUAAAGAGCUCGUAGGCGGUCUGUCGCGUCGGUCGUGAAAACUUGGGGCUUAACCCUGAGCUUGCGGUCAAUACGGGCAUGACUGGAGUUCGGCAGGGGAGACUGGAAUUCCUGGUGUAGCGGUGAAAUGCGCAGAUAUCAGGAGGAACACCGGUGGCGAAGGCGGGUCUCUGGGCCGAUACUGACGCUGAGGAGCGAAAGCGUGGGGAGCAAACAGG